rnacentral:rRNA from 2 species
UGAGGAAUAUUGGUCAAUGGGCGCGAGCCUGAACCAGCCAAGUCGCGUGAGGGACGACGGUCCUACGGAUUGUAAACCUCUUUAGGCGGGGAGUAAUGUGCUCUACGAGUAGAGUAGUGAGAGUACCCGCAGAAUAAGCAUCGGCUAACUCCGUGCCAGCAGCCGCGGUAAUACGGAGGAUGCGAGCGUUAUCCGGAUUUAUUGGGUUUAAAGGGUGCGCAGGCUGUGCAUCAAGUCAGCGGUAAAAUCUCGGGGCUCAACCCCGUUUAGCCGUUGAAACUGGUGUGCUGGAGUGUGCGCGAGGAAGGCGGAAUGCGCGGUGUAGCGGUGAAAUGCAUAGAUAUUGCGCAGAACUCCGAUUGCGAAGGCAGCCUUCCAGUGCAUGACUGACGCUGAGGCACGAAAGCGUGGGUAUCGAACAGGAUUAGAUACCCUGGUAGUCCACGCAGUAAACGAUGAAUACUAUCUUUCCGUCGCGCCUGAGCGGGGGGAGGACAAGCGAAAGCGUUAAGUAUUCCACCUGGGGAGUACGCCGGCAACGGUGAAACUCAAAGGAAUUGACGGGGGCCCGCACAAGCGGAGGAACAUGUGGUUUAAUUCGAUGAUACGCGAGGAACCUUACCCGGGCUCAAACGCUGCUAGAUCGGUGUGGAAACACGCCUUCCCUUCGGGGCUGUCAGCGAGGUGCUGCAUGGUUGUCGUCAGCUCGUGCCGUGAGGUGUCGGCUUAAGUGCCAUAACGAGCGCAACCCCCAUCUCCAGUUGCCAUCGGUUCAAGCCGGGCACUCUGGAGAGACUGCCGGCGCAAGCCGUGAGGAGGGCGGGGAUGACGUCAAAUCAGCACGGCCCUUACGUCCGGGGCGACACACGUGUUACAAUGGCGGAGUUACAGCGGGAAGCCAGGCGGCGACGUCGAGCUGAUCCCGAAAAUCCGUCUCAGUUCGGAUCGGAGUCUGCAACCCGACUCCGUGAAGCUGGAUUCGCUAGUAAUCGCGCAUCAGCCAUGGCGCGGUGAAUACGUUCCCGGGCCU